rnacentral:rRNA from 1 species
UAUUUUAAAGAGAGUUUGAUCCUGGCUCAGGACGAACGCUGGCGGCGUGCCUAAUACAUGCAAGUCGAACGAACGGAGGAAGAGCUUGCUCUUCCAAAGUUAGUGGCGGACGGGUGAGUAACACGUGGGCAACCUGCCUGUAAGUUGGGGAUAACUCCGGGAAACCGGGGCUAAUACCGAAUGAUAAGGAGUGACGCAUGUCACUGCUUUGAAAGAUGGUUUCGGCUAUCGCUUACAGAUGGGCCCGCGGUGCAUUAGCUAGUUGGUAGGGUAAAGGCCUACCAAGGCAACGAUGCAUAGCCGACCUGAGAGGGUGAUCGGCCACACUGGGACUGAGACACGGCCCAGACUCCUACGGGAGGCAGCAGUAGGGAAUCUUCCGCAAUGGACGAAAGUCUGACGGAGCAACGCCGCGUGUAUGAAGAAGGUUUUCGGAUCGUAAAGUACUGUUGUUAGAGAAGAACAAGGAUAAGAGUAACUGCUUG